CCUACGGGAGGCAGCAGUAGGGAAUCUUCCACAAUGGACGAAAGUCUGAUGGAGCAACGCAGCGUGAGUGAAGAAGGGUUUCGGCUCGUACAGCUCUGUUGGUAGUGAAGAAAGAUAGAGGUAGUAACUGGCCCUUAUUUGACGGUAAUUACUUAGAAAGUCACGGCUAACUACUUGCCAGCCGCCGCGGUAAUACGUAGGUGGCAAGCGUUGUCCGGAUGUAUUGGGCGUAAAGCGAUGGCGGGCGGUUUAAUAAGUCUGAUGUGAAAGCCUUCGGCUCAACCGGAGAAUUGCAUCAGAAACUGUUGAACUUGAGUGCAGAAGAGGAGAGUGGAACGCCAUGUGUAGCGGUGGAAUGCGUAGAGAUAUGGAAGAACACCAGUGGCGAAGGCGGCUCUCUGGUCUGCAACUGACGCUGAGGCUCGAAAGCAUGGGUAGCGAACAGGAUUAGAUACCCUGGUAGUC
rnacentral:rRNA from 1 species